UUGAAGCAGUUUUUCAAUCUCAAGACUCUGGGAGUCAAAAGAUCUUUUCACAGGAGUAGCCUAGGGUCACCUGCAUGUCAAGAGUUUACAUACUAUGAAAGCCUCUCAUCCUAUGGGCUUGGCAACCAAGACUGUUGUUCUAAUACCUCUGCCCUCAUUACCAUGAAGACCACUGGAGUCUGGGAUAUCUGUUUAGAUUUAACAGACACCAUCCAGGGAGCACCUUGUGGACUGCAAAACUGCUGAUCUCUGGACUUGCUGAAAGCUGCUGUGAACCAAUCCAGUUGGUGUGAUUGCUCAGUGUCCUUUCACCUGGAAGAGCUAGUCAGAUGUUUCUGAUAAACGCCCCAUUGCCCAGCCUUUGACUAGACAUUCAGCCUACCUGGGCCCUGACAGCCAACAUCCCAAUUUCAGCUGGAAGCAGUUACAGAAUAAAGUACAUCAUCCCUGUCCCCUUAACAGGAUGAAAAUGCUAAGUCAAAGAUAAAUUCCUUUUAGGAAAAACCUGUUACUUACAUGUCAAUCAUUCCAGGGUAGUCCAGCAAAAAUAAAACCUUGACUGUACAUAAUAAAACUCAUUAUGUUGACCCAUCUAGGUGCUGCAACACUGGGUUGACACCUUGCAAUCAUGGUAUGAUCCUAAAUGAAGGAAAAAAGGGGUAAUGUGUGAUGGUCUAGGUAUUCCCUUAGAACCCCGGACACACAGAACCCAUGAUUGGGUCCUCUCUAGUUUCUUGUGGGGGUGAAGUGGCCUAAGAUAGCAUUAGUAUAGCUAUGACAGGUUGCAGACAAACAAUAUUGGGACUAGGUCUCACUCUUACAAUAACAAGAAUAAACAUACUGUACCCUAUGGGGGGACCAAUCAGAAUUGAGACAAACAAGUACUAGAUGCUCCAAAACAUUAAGGAUAGCUUACCUAACUUGUAUAUAGGUUGCCAAUCUCCUUGCAGCAAUGUCAGUAGCAAUCCCUGUUUGACAGGACUUCUGUUGCCCUACUCUUGCCCAAUAAGACAUUCAACCCCCAUCUGAUUCUGGAAUUCCCCCAUGCCCACAUUCUUUACUCCUUAAAAUCCCUGACAUAGAUGAGCUCAGUGUUUUCCCUGAUCCAACUGCUGUAUCACAGUAGACAGAAGGCCCAAGCUUGAGUUUGCAAUAAAAGCUCUUUGCU